rnacentral:rRNA from 1 species
AGUCGAGCGAACAGAUAAGGAGCUUGCUCCUUUGACGUUAGCGGCGGACGGGUGAGUAACACGUGGGUAACCUACCUAUAAGACUGGGACAACUUCGGGAAACCGGAGCUAAUACCGGAUAAUAUGUUGAACCGCAUGGUUCAAUAGUGAAAGGUGGUUUUGCUAUCACUUAUAGAUGGACUCGCGCCGUAUUAGCUAGUUGGUGAGGUAAUGGCUCACCAAGGCAACGAUACGUAGCCGACCUGAGAGGGUGAUCGGCCACACUGGAACUGAGACACGGUCCAGACUCCUACGGGAGGCAGCAGUAGGGAAUCUUCCGCAAUGGGCGAAAGCCUGACGGAGCAACGCCGCGUGAGUGAUGAAGGUCUUAGGAUCGUAAAACUCUGUUAUUAGGGAAGAACAAACGUGUAAGUAACUGUGCACGUCUUGACGGUACCUAAUCAGAAAGCCACGGCUAACUACGUGCCAGCAGCCGCGGUAAUACGUAGGUGGCAAGCGUUAUCCGGAAUUAUUGGGCGUAAAGCGCGCGUAGGCGGUUUUUUAAGUCUGAUGUGAAAGCCCACGGCUCAACCGUGGAGGGUCAUUGGAAACUGGAAAACUUGAGUGCAGAAGAGGAAAGUGGAAUUCCAUGUGUAGCGGUGAAAUGCGCAGAGAUAUGGAGGAACACCAGUGGCGAAGGCGACUUUCUGGUCUGUAACUGA